rnacentral:rRNA from 1 species
UAGGGAAUCUUCCGCAAUGGGCGAAAGCUUGACGGAGCAACGCCGCGUGAGUGAUGAAGGUCUUCGGAUCGUAAAACUCUGUUAUUAGGGAAGAACAAAUGUGUAAGUAACUAUGCACGUCUUGACGGUACCUAAUCAGAAAGCCACGGCUAACUACGUGCCAGCAGCCGCGGUAAUACGUAGGUGGCAAGCGUUAUCCGGAAUUAUUGGGCGUAAAGCGCGCGUAGGCGGUUUUUUAAGUCUGAUGUGAAAGCCCACGGCUCAACCGUGGAGGGUCAUUGGAAACUGGAAAACUUGUGUGCAGAAGAGGAAAGUGGAAUUCCAUGUGUAGCGGUGAAAUGCGCAGAGAUAUGGAGGAACACCAGUGGCGAAGGCGACUUUCUGGUCUGUAACUGACGCUGAUGUGCGAAAGCGUGGGGAUCAAACAGG